AACGCUCUCUUUGCCUUUUGGCUUAGAUUAAAUGCAGUGGUUGUUCUUUUUAGUUUAAUCUCUAAAAUGGUCCUACGGGGCCGCUUCUAUUGAUUAAACCAGUUUUUGGACCUCGCCUUGGAGCCGCUGAGCGCUGCUCAUGUUCCGAGGCACAGUGUCGCUCCUAUUGCACUGUCUGGAGCUGAUGCGAACCUUU
rnacentral:snRNA from 1 species